rnacentral:misc_RNA from 1 species
GCUUGGGGAAGUCGAUGGACUGACAACCAGUGGAGGAGUAAGACUUUGUGGACUUAAGCGGCCACUGUUUGACACCAGCGGAUUGUCAGAAGCAUAAGCUAACCACCUGGGACCCACAGCCAUUGGACCAUAUCCAAUAUUAACUCCAUUGGUUCCUUGGCCUCCCAACUGAGGGACUGGAUAAGUGAGGACACUGAAUUUGUUCUCAAGAGUCAGAGCAUCAAAACAGUAUAUCUGCCA